GACGAACGCUGGUGGCGUGCUUAACACAUGCAAGUCGAACGGGAUUUAGUAAACAGAAGCCUCGGUGGAAGAUUACUAAUGAGAGUGGCGAACGGGUGAGUAACGCGUGAGCAACCUGCCUAUGACAGUGGGAUAGCCUCGGGAAACCGGGAUUAAUACCGCAUAAAAUCGUAGAAACACAUGUUUUAACGGUCAAAGAUUUAUCGGUCAUAGAUGGGCUCGCGUCUGAUUAGCUAGUUGGUGAGAUAACAGCCCACCAAGGCGACAAUCAGUAGCCGGGCAGUGAGGAAGGGCGGAGACAUUGGAACGAAGCCGCAGUCGGGAAUCCUACGGGAGGGAGCAGAGGGGGAUAUAGCACAAUGGGGGGAACCAUGAAGGCGCUACGCCGGGAGAACGAAGAAGGUAUUCGUAUCGUAAAGUUCUGUCAUAUGGGAAGAUAAUGACGGUACCAUAGAAGAAAGCACCGGCUAAAUACGUG
rnacentral:rRNA from 1 species